CCAACACCGAUAACAGACUUCACUCAAAAAAAAAAACCUGACGAGGGACAAAUCCACUGACCCCCCUUUUUUUUGUUGAUUUGGGGUCAGGCCCGGUGGUUUUCACACAGAUCAAAUCGUUUGGACACAACGAUGAGACAACACAACAAGGUGCAUAUUUGAGCUUAACGCAGUUACAGUACAAGACUGUCGGAAAAAGACACACACACACAAAAAAAAAAAAAAAAAAAAAAAAAUUGUAAAAAGGGCUUUCUGUGUUCACGCUCAACAACACACCGGAGGCAUUGCAUUCCUGGGUUUUAUAUAAAAAGCUUUGGAAGUUUUUUUUGUGUGUAUUUACUUUUAGCUGUAAACAAUUGUGUGAAAAAUGCCUUCAACGAGUACUCAAAAGUGAGAUGUGCAUUAGGUAUGCAGCGAGAGUGCUGUGACCCAUUUUUACAUUCAGUCUCUCUGUUUUUACUUUUUUUUUUUUUUUUUUCUUCUUCAUGUGCCAUUUUGCGAGGUUGAGAAACGCCAUGUGUAUGAAGACGCUGAGAAGAGGUGUGGGAGAGGUGGGAAGAAACUAAAAUGGGCUUAAUCGACCGGAGAACGUUUAUCAGAUCCUGGAAUGUAGUUUAAACGUGCUGUAGAGGAGGAAGAAGAGGAGGAGGAGGAUGAAGGAGGAGGAGGAGAUGAUGAUCAUCGACUGGCCCGUUCAGUUGGAGCAAAGGGAUCUGGGUACACGGAUUUAACAGAUGUUCAGCGCAAAGUUUCUGGGUCAGUUGUCUCUUGACUGGAUGAGCAGAUGCAGACAUGACUACCUCUAUGUGAGUCUUCAUUGCUAACCACAGUGACCAAGAUCCAGUCGGAGGUGUUUCUACCUGUGUACAUAACAAAGCCGCGCGUUGGCAGCAGGAACUUGGAUUUGGACCAGCAAUUCAACGUCAACUUGUUUUACUAAGCAUCCUUCUGUUGUUUUAUUUUGGAUAUAUAUGCCUUUUACUAAGUAUUAUUUGGCAAAUGAAAAAGAGGAAAAAAUACACCGAUUUGUGUGCUUGGUUGUAAAAUGACAAACUUAAUCAAUGCCGCCCCAUUGUAAGACAGUUAUCCUGAAAGCAACUAGUUGCAGAGUGCCACUUUGCAAAUGGGUGAAAAUGACCAUGUUUGGUGAUGUUCUGUAUGUACAUACAUCUUUUUAACUGUAAUAAACCGAUAAAUAUUUACAAAUUUA